AAAUACGGUGCCGGACGACUCUACAUUCUUCGUUCGGCAAUCGUAAAAAAAGGAGGCAAUAAUUAACCCGUAUCGGUUCGCGGUGCAGCAGUGUGGAGACCUGUUGUAAUACCUUCGCCACAUAUGCGGGCGCGGGUGAGCUGCGCAGUUAGCGGAUGCUGUGCGCGGCAGAGCCGGAGAUAUGGCA
rnacentral:ncRNA from 1 species